rnacentral:rRNA from 1 species
GAUGAACGCUGGCGGCGUGCUUAACACAUGCAAGUCGAACGAUGAAGCCCAGCUUGCUGGGUGGAUUAGUGGCGAACGGGUGAGUAACACGUGAGUAACCUGCCCUUAACUCUGGGAUAAGCCUGGGAAACUGGGUCUAAUACCGGAUAUGAGCGUCCACCGCAUGGUGGGUGUUGGAAAGAUUUAUCGGUUUUGGAUGGACUCGCGGCCUAUCAGCUUGUUGGUGAGGUAAUGGCUCACCAAGGCGACGACGGGUAGCCGGCCUGAGAGGGUGACCGGCCACACUGGGACUGAGAAACGGCCCAGACUCCUACGGGAGGCAGCAGUGGGGAAUAUUGCACAAUGGGCGCAAGCCUGAUGCAGCAACGCCGCGUGAGGGAUGACGGCCUUCGGGUUGUAAACCUCUUUCAGUAGGGAAGAAGCGAAAGUGACGGUACCUGCAGAAGAAGCACCGGCUAACUACGUG